rnacentral:rRNA from 1 species
AGUGAACGCUGGCGGCAGGCCUAACACAUGCAAGUCGAACGGCAGCACAGCAGUAGCAAUACUGUGGGUGGCGAGUGGCGGACGGGUGAGGAAUACAUCGGAAUCUGCCUAGUCGUGGGGGAUAACGUAGGGAAACUUACGCUAAUACCGCAUACGACCUACGGGUGAAAGCGGGGGAUCGCAAGACCUCGCGCGAUUAGAUGAGCCGAUGUCCGAUUAGCUAGUUGGUGGGGUAAAAGGCCUACCAAAGGCGACGAUCUUUAGCUGGUCUGAGAGGAUGAUCAGCCACACUGGGACUGAGACACGGCCUAGACUCCUACGGGAGGCAGCAGUGGGGAAUAUUGGAC